AACGAACGCUGGCGGCGCGCCUAAUACAUGCAAGUCGAGCGAGAAGACGUAGCAAUACGUUUGUAAAGCGGCGAACGGGUGAGGAAUACAUGGGUAACCUACCCUCGAGUGGGGAAUAACUAGCCGAAAGGUUAGCUAAUACCGCGUACGCUUCUUGGACUUCGGUUCAGGGAGGAAAGCGAUACCGUGGGUAUCGCGCUCUUGGAUGGGCUCAUGUCCUAUCAGCUUGUUGGUGAGGUAACGGCUCACCAAGGCUUCGACGGGUAGCUGGUCUGAGAGGACGAUCAGCCACACUGGCACUGCGACACGGGCCAGACUCCUACGGGAGGCAGCAGUAAGGAAUAUUGCGCAAUGGGCGAAAGCCUGACGCAGCGAUGCCGCGUGGGGGAUGAAGGUCUUCGGAUUGUAAACCCCUUUCGGGAGGGAAGAUGGACCGAGCAAUCGUUCGGACGGUACCUCCAGAAGCAGCCACGGCUAACUUCGUGCCAGCAGCCGCCGUAAGAC
rnacentral:rRNA from 1 species